rnacentral:lncRNA from 1 species
UUGUAAGGAUACAGAAGUUGAAUGCACUGGUAUACCAGAAACAAGUUCCGAGAAGAAAGAAAUCAUAGCUAGUGAAAAUAAGUCCGAUGGUGGGAGUGAUAGUGGUGGGAAGGAAGAAGGGAAGGCAACAGAUGUGGCAAUGGAUGAAGUAAAUGUGGCUGAAGCAAUGGAUGAAGUAAAUGUAGCUGAGCAGGCUCUGGAUCACCAGCAUGAGUCGGUCAAGGAAUUUGAAGAGAAGAAAAGAGAGGAGGGAGAAGG